rnacentral:rRNA from 1 species
GACGAACGCUGGCGGCGUGCUUAACACAUGCAAGUCGAACGGUGAAGCACCUUCCUUUUUGGUGGGUGUGGAUGAGUGGCGAACGGGUGAGUAACACGUGAGUAACCUGCCCCCUUCUUCUGGAUAACCGCAUGAAAGUGCGGCUAAUACGGGAUAUUCUGGGUCUGUCGCAUGAUGGGUCUGGGAAAGAUAUUGUUUCGGUGGGGGAUGGGCUCGCGGCCUAUCGGCUUGUUGGUGGGGUGAUGGCCUACCAAGGCGGUGACGGGUAGCCGGCCUGAGAGGGUGGACGGUCACACUGGGACUGAGACACGGCCCAGACUCCUACGGGAGGCAGCAGUGGGGAAUAUUGCACAAUGGGCGCAAGCCUGAUGCAGCGACGCCGCGUGAGGGAUGGAGGCCUUCGGGUUGUGAACCUCUUUCGCCAGUGAAGCAGGCCUGCCUCGUUUGUGGGUGGGUUGACGGUAGCUGGAUAAGAAGCGCCGGCUAACUACGUG